CCUACGGGCGACAGCAGUGAGGAAUAUUGGUCAAUGGCCGGAAGGCUGAACCAGCCAAGCCGCGUGAAGGACGAAGGUGCCAAGCACUGUAAACUUCUUUUGUCAAGGGACAAAAUCAGGCUCGAGAGCCUGACCGAGGGUACUUGAAGAAAAAGCAUCGGCUAACUCCGUGCCAGCAGCCGCGGUAAUAGGGGGGAUGCGAGCGUUAUCCGGAUUUAUGGGGUUAAAGGGGUGCGUAGGGGGACUGUUAAGUCAGCGGUAAAAGCCCGGGGCUCAACGCCGCGGGGCCGUUGAAACGGGCAGUCUUGAGAGGUCGAGAGGAAUGCGGAAUGCGCAGUGUAGCGGUGAAAUGCUUAGAUAUAGCGCGGAACUCCAGUUGCGAAGGCGGCAUACCGGCGGCGAUCUGACGCUGAGGCACGAAAGCGUGGGUAUCGAACAGGAUUAGAUACCCGUGUAGUC
rnacentral:rRNA from 1 species